AUAGAGGAGGGGGGGAGGCGCACAUGCACUAGGGAGAAACACACUCACACACAUACUAGCGGCAGCCACAUUUUCACAGCCUGCUCUCCAGACUGACAGCAGCAAACGGAGUGGAGAGCCAGCACGGCUGAGCGAGGGAGGACUGGAAACAAGGGAGAGGGAAGGAGGGAAAGGACACUCACGAGGGAUUUGCCCCCUUAUUUCUCCUUUGUGCUUCCUCUUGAGCUGAACUUUGCUUUGCUGAAGGACCUGCACCCAGCUAUGGCAGCACUGGUGGGACGUGGGAACACCGUCUCCCUCUCAUCUUGCUCCUCUCAUGGCUGGACUACCCUCCUCUGGCUGCUGUUGACCCUCACAAGCCAAGUGUGGGGCUUCAACCUGGAUACGACCCACACUCUGCACAAGUUGGGAGACCACGGCACCUUCUUUGGUUUCUCUCUAGCACUCCACCAGCAGCUUACCCCUGAGCCUCAGAGCUGGAUCCUGGUGGGGGCGCCACAGGCAGCGGGGCUAGGUCCAUUGCGGGGCAGUCGACCAGGAGCCUUGUUCAGGUGUCCGAUCACACCAGAGGAGUAUGACUGCGAGAGGGUGGAUAUUGAUGGAGAAGUGAGUCUGGACAGAGAGAGCAAAGACAACCAGUGGCUGGGAGUGACUGUGAAAAGUCAGGGGAUUGGAGGGAAGGUGGUGACCUGCGCUCACCUGUACGAGCUCAGGCAACGUGUGCGUCAACCUUCGGAGACUCGUGACCCCAUUGGGCGCUGCUACGUCCUGAGUGAAGACCUGACGGAGCGAGAUGACCUGGACGGAGGCGAGUGGAAGUUCUGCGAGGGUCGACCCCAGGGACACGAGCAGUUUGGUUUCUGUCAGCAGGGCCUAUCCGUCAGCUUCACCCCAGACAACAACUUCAUUCUCUUUGGUGCUCCAGGAACAUACAACUGGAAAGGCGAGAUGCGCGUCCAGCUCCUAAACCAGACUAUGCUUGACCUCGGUUUCUAUGACGAUGGACCCUACGAGGUGGCAGAUCAGAAACAACUUAAUGCUCAGCUCAUCCCUGUGCCUUACCACAGUUACCUGGGGUUUUCUGUGGACUCAGCCUUUGGGAUAACGAGCCUCGGAGAGCUGACGUUUGUGGCGGGUGCACCCCGGGCCAACCACACAGGGGCGGUGGUGCUGUUGAGAAAGGAUAACGUGUACCGACUGGUGCCACAGCACAUUUUCUGGGGGGAGGAGCUGGCAUCCUCAUUUGGGUACUCGGUAGCUACGACGGAUCUGAACAAAGACGGCUGGACAGAUCUAAUUGUCGGAGCUCCUAACUUUUUUGACCGUAAGGCCGAGAUCGGUGGAGCCGUUUACGUGUACUUGAACCCCUUCGGUCACUGGGACGAUCACGCGCGACCGAUCCGUCUCAAUGGGACGUAUGACUCCAUGUUUGGGAUCACAGUCAGCAACAUUGGAGAUCUGGACCAGGAUGGAUAUGGAGAUAUUGCUGUCGGAGCGCCAUAUGAUGGUGACGGCAAAGUUUUUAUCUACAGAGGAUCACAUUCUGGAAUUGAGACGAAACCUGCUCAGGUGCUGGACGGUCGGGACUUUGACGUGAGACGUUUUGGAUACUCCAUCUCAGGUGGUCUGGACAUUGACAAUAAUCAAUAUCCAGAUAUUGCAGUGGGUUCUCUUAACGAUUCAGUGGUUCUCUUCAGGUCUUGUCCAGUCAUUCAUGUAAUCAGAAUUAUAUCUAUUAAUCCACAACACAUUGAUCUGGAGCAGCACAACUGCAAGGGCAGACAAGGAUUCUGUGUGGAGGUCAAGGCCUGCUUCUCCUUCAUGGCCCACCCAGAACACUACUCACCACACAUUACCCUGGUGGUGCAUUUCGAAGCUGACACCGAGCGUAGGAAGCUGGGCCUCCCGCACCGCGUUAAUUUCCUGGGCCGCAGUUCACUUGAGCCCGAGUACACUCAGACAGAGGAAGUGGAGCUGCAUAGCCAGCGUCACCCCGUGUGCACCACCGCUGUCUUCCAACUCCAUGAAAGUAUCCAGGACAAACUGCGUCCCAUCUCGAUGGCAAUAACCCAUACUAUCAAGCCAGUGCCGCCACGCAGACACUCAGCCAAGAGGCUGGAGAAGCUGGCACCUGUGCUGAGUGUCUCCCCCUCCAACACACUGCACUCUGAGGUGAACUUCCUGCGAGAGGGAUGUGGCACUGACAAAAUCUGCCAGAGCAACUUGAAGCUGAGCUACCAGUUUGGAACACGACCCCUGACCUCCGACCUCUUCACCCCUCUGCCAAAAGAUGAGGACGAUGUACAGGUGUUCUCUCUGUCAGACCAGCGGCUGGUGGUGCUGGAGAUCACCGUCACCAACAUGCCCUCUGACCCCCUUCACCCCGAGGAGGACGGAGACGAUGCUCAUGCUGCUCAGCUGAUUAUCUCCCUGCCAAACACUCUGUCGUACGCCGGCUCCAGGGUCCCAACUCAGAUGAGAUGUCAAGCGAACCAGAAUGGCUCCCAAGUUGAAUGUGACCUGGGAAACCCCGUCAAACGAGAUACUAAGCUGAAAUUCUCCAUCAACUUGAGCACAUCCAACAUCACCAUUGAGACGACUGAGCUGACAGCAGAUCUCCUCCUGACAACCAUCAGCGAGCAGCCUGACCUGGUCCCAGCCACUGCAUUUGCUAAAGUUGUGAUAGAGCUCCCCCUUUCUGUCAGUGGGCUCGCUCGUCCUCACCAGCUCUUCUUCAGCGGAACAGUGAUGGGAGAGAGUGCCAUGACCAGCCUGGAGGACAUCGGCAGCCCUGUGGAUUUUGAGUUUGUGGUGGCGAAUCCCGGACAAGCCCUGCAGACACUCGGCUCGGCCUUCCUGAACAUCAUGUGGCCCUACGAGCUGGCCAAUGGGAAGUGGCUCCUGUAUCCUGCGAGCCUGAAGUUUGAGGGUCACCCAGACACACACUGCAUCCCCUCAGCAGCAAUGAAUCCUCUGAAGCUGCAGAGGUCCUCACCUGCAGAGCUUCCACAGUCUGUCAACCCCAAGGCUGGGCGAGCGCGCCGCUCCCACCCAGAGGACGAAGGUCAAGUGAUGACAAAAGGCAGCGUGGGACGAACUACCCCAGCUGUGGCAGCUUCAGAGAGACGCAAGUCGCUAAAAUUGGACUGUCUCCUGGGAUCAGCACGUUGUGUCCUGUUCCAGUGUCCCCUCCACAGCUUCUCUGGUCAGGCUGUCCUCAGGAUCCACGCCCGGCUGUGGAACAGCAGUUUCAUAGAGGAGUUCCCAGCAGUCAGUGCUCUGGAGCUGCUGGUCAGAGCCAACAUCACUGUCAAGUCCAGCAUCAAGCAUCUGGUCCUCAAGGAAGCUGCUGCUCAGGUACCAGUGAUGAUCUACCCUGAACCUGGUCUGGCUGAUCAGUACUUGAUCCCCUGGUGGAUCAUCCUCAUAGCCGUGCUGGCAGGCAUCCUGCUGCUCACUCUAUUGGUCUGCCUCCUGUGGAAGUGUGGGUUCUUCAAACGCAGCGAACGGCGCCGACACUAUGAGACGGAGUACUUCCAUGCCCACUUGGGGGUCCAACCCUCGGAGGCGGAGAAGCAGGCAUCAGAACUAUAAUAUCAAAAAAAUAUUACUCUGGCCUGUUCUCCCCUCCUCCUCUCCCUUCAAGCGUGUGGCUUCUUCCGACGGGCCCACUACAAAGACAAAGUGCCUCAGUACCAUGCGGUGAAGAUUCCUCGCGAGGACAGGCCACAGUUCCAGACUGAGAAGUCGGGAGUCGUCCAUAAAAAGGAAUGGGCCACGCACUGGAGCGACGGGACCUCGUAACUCUGUUUAAAGCUCCGACUGACUGAAUUCAUGAAGAAAAAUCACCACAUGUGGCACUUGUUCUGUCUUUGCAUUGGAACUAACGGACUAAAAAAAUAAAAGUGCACAUAGACUGAGAUCAUGAAAUCCUGUGCACACUGUACUGCGUCAGUACAUACAUCAUGGUGGCCUGUUACACUGGAUCUAUAUUCUCCCAUACUCUACCCCAACGAUGGCCGGCCUUGGAUAGUUUAUUUAUAACGUAAAUCCUAACCAGUGUUUUGCAGAACGACCAGUUUAGCUGCUCAGAAUAUUUCACCGCCUGCAAUGACGCUCAUUUUCGUCAGUUUGAGUGGCACAACAAGGACGACAAGAAACCCACAUGUCAUAGAACUGCAUGAAUGCACAACAUUACAGUUUAGUAUUAGAUGCACAUACACUGGACACUGUUGAAGAAAACACCACUGCCCUCCGCAACUACAAAACUACUUUUUUGCCUUGACUACUGUAAGACUGACGACUGAUAUAGGCGAUGGAAAAAUAAAAUACAUUUUUUAUACAAA